rnacentral:rRNA from 1 species
GAUGAACGCUGGCGGCGUGCCUAAUACAUGCAAGUCGAGCGAACGGACGAGAAGCUUGCUUCUCUGAUGUUAGCGGCGGACGGGUGAGUAACACGUGGAUAACCUACCUAUAAGACUGGGAUAACUUCGGGAAACCGUAGCUAAUACCGGAUAAUAUUUUGAACCGCAUGGUUCAAAAGUGGAAGACGGUCUUGCUGUCACUUAUAGAUGGAUCCGCGCUGCAUUAGCUAGUUGGUAAGGUAACGGCUUACCAAGGCAACGAUGCAUAGCCGACCUGAGAGGGUGAUCGGCCACACUGGAACUGAGACACGGUCCAGACUCCUACGGGAGGCAGCAGUAGGGAAUCUUCCGCAAUGGGCGAAAGCCUGACGGAGCAACGCCGCGUGAGUGAUGAAGGUCUUCGGAUCGUAAAACUCUGUUAUUAGGGAAGAACAUAUGUGUAAGUAACUGUGCACAUCUUGACGGUACCUAAUCAGAAAGCCACGGCCAACUACGUG